UACGUAGGUGGCAAGCGUUGUCCGGAAUUAUUGGGCGUAAAGCGCGCGCAGGCGGUCCUUUAAGUCUGAUGUGAAAUCUUGCGGCUCAACCGCAAGCGGUCGUGGGAAACUGGGUGGCUAGAGUGCGGGAGAGGAGAGUGGAAUUCCUGGUGUAGCGGUGGAAUGCGCAGAUAUCAGGAAGAACACCCGUGGCGAAGGCGGCUCUCUGGAACGCAACUGACGCUGAGACGCGAAAGCGUGGGGAGCAAACAGG
rnacentral:rRNA from 1 species